CCGGCGGGGACACCUGGAAAGACUGUGGUCUCUUCCAGCUCUGUCCAUGUGGCGUAUGGGAGUGUAGGCCUCCGGGCUCUGUGACAUAUGGUCCCCUUCCACGCUGCUGGAGAGCAAGUUGGACUUCCGUGGUCUGCAGCCUGCAUAUUCCUACUGCUUCUCUGAGUCUCUGGACCAUGACAGAGGAGAUAAACCAUGCAGGAGACAUUC
rnacentral:snoRNA from 1 species